AGUGAACGCUGGCGGUAGGCCUAACACAUGCAAGUCGAACGGCAGCACAGUAAGAGCUUGCUCUUACGGGUGGCGAGUGGCGGACGGGUGAGGAAUACAUCGGAAUCUACUUUUUCGUGGGGGAUAACGUAGGGAAACUUACGCUAAUACCGCAUACGACCUACGGGUGAAAGCAGGGGAUCUUCGGACCUUGCGCGAUUGAAUGAGCCGAUGUCGGAUUAGCUAGUUGGCGGGGUAAAGGCCCACCAAGGCGACGAUCCGUAGCCGGUCUGAGAGGAUGACCGGCCCCCCUGAACUGGGGACCCGUUCCGGCUUCCACCGGAGGCAGCAGUGGGGAAUAUUGGACAAUGGGCGCAAGCCUGAUCCAGCCAUACCGCGUGGGUGAAGAAGGCCUUCGGGUUGUAAAGCCCUUUUGUUGGGAAAGAAAAGCAGCAGGUUAAUACCCCGCUGUUCUGACGGUACCCAAAGAAUAAGCACCGGCUAACUUCGUG
rnacentral:rRNA from 1 species